rnacentral:lncRNA from 1 species
GAAGUGACUGGAUGUGGAGAGGAGUGUAUCCGCGAAGGAACGCACAAGUGGCCUGACCUGCAGAAGAACGCUAGCUAGGCACUAGGCAUGCCGGCAAGGUCAGCUGAGAGCUGACCCCAGUGCAACGUGGAGGAGUUUGGUUGGGGCAGUCGGAGGAGCACCUGGGCCGCCAAGCGGCCAGACUUCGGGGGAAAGCCAUCUCUCUUCUGGCGCCUUUAUCGGCAGAGAGCUACUUGUACUCAAAACCUUGCACUCAUUCUCCAAGCCCACGUGGGUAAGAUUCACCCACACUGCGGAGGGCGUCGGAGCUCCACAGCCUGCCUGUCUGUAUGCUCCCAUAGAGGUUUGAGCAGCGGGGCACUGGAGAAGCAAGUCACACCCCCAUUGCACGCCAUGGGAGUAGGACAAGGGGGGCUGGGCGGGCCGGCCCAGGGCCUGCCUAUGGCCUGAAAGAGAAAACCUGCCACGGAGCCCGGGCUUCUCUGAUCCUCCCGCCAAACUUUGUCUCUCAUUUAGCUUUCUUUGUGUCUGAGGAUUUAGCAAAGGCCUCAGGGGCCUUUAAUAGACAGAACGCUUAGGGCCACACACGUGAAGGACUUACUAGGUAUUGCUUAACUCUGUUUUUGUUCAUAAACAGGCAUCAAGGAUGGAGAUGCGCUAAGACUGAUGAUGUACACAGUACAAAUAGUGCAAAUAAGGAUGAGAAUACAAGCCCUGGUGAUUAAAAAAGGAUUCAACAGAGUUGGAUUGCUGAGAAUAAAAUUACGGAUUUCUCCAUAAUGGACACACGCACUUUUUGUUUGUGCUGUUUCCUUUAGAAUGGACGAUGAGUCAAAAUUGUUCGUUUAUGCUUCUUCACAGAAGGAUCUUCUGUGUCGUAGGAGGUGGCCUGCAGCAAUCUGGACAUUCAGUGGUCCUCCUGUGAUUAAUAGGUGAACGGAUGAGCUAUUCUGAUAAGAACUGGGGAACUUUUGCCAUUCAAAAGCAAAUAGAAGAACUGGGAGAUUCCUCAACUUAGCUUUUCUUUUUUUUGGUUCUAAAGUGACUGCGAAUGGAGGUAGAAGAGAAGAAAAGCUUUCAAAAACAUCUUCCAUUAAGAAAAAUAUGUAUCUUCAUGAAGACCUAUCUGAGUAAAAUUACUAAAACAUAAUGGCUUUCUUGAAAUAGAAUGGAAUGAAAGGCAUAUUAGGGAGUAUGAAAGUAUGAAGAUUUUAUUAACAUACUUCUAGAAGUUUAUUAAAUAUCUGCACAGGAACUGUAAUUUGAGAUCAGUGGUGGAAAGAGAAUAAAGGAAUCACGUGGACAUCAGCUCUGAGGCCUGUGGCCCCACUUGCUUCUGGGCUUUCUAUAGACAUUUGCUGGUGACCUGCCCAGGCAGGCUAGAGUACCCUUCCUCAUUGCACCCUGUGUUCCCAUCCUCUUUUCCUUCCUUCCUUCCUUCCUUCCUUCCUUCCUUCCUUUCUUCCUCCAUCCCUUAUGAAACCCUCGUUGUGCAGUUACUUAUUAGGUGCUGUGUGAGCGUCUGAAGUCUCCCCUCACCCACUUUUCCAUUUGGGCCACUUGGCCAGUGAUUGCAUCAGUACCAGGGUUCUAGGAGCCAUGCAGGGAUCCCCAGUGGGCAGAGCUGGCCGUAGCAUUUGGAAAGGAAGAGAGAGAACUGGAGACAAUGCCUAGGAACAAAAGCAGAGUCCAGACCCAGGCAUCAAGUGCAAAUCCAAAGGCUCUGGAUGAGUCAGUUCCCAGCAAAGGGACACAAGUAGGCACAGAAGGAAGGACAGCAGAAAACACUGGUCCAGAGAGGGCCUGCAGAGCCAGAAGCGAUGACGCAUCCAAGGUUGUGUUUGACUUCUGCACUGCCUCUGCAACCUGUAAGCACAUCUGAGCCAGUUCAGAAAGUAGGAAAACCAAAGUAUAUCAGAAAUGGCCUCUUAUCAUCAAGGAGAUUUUGGUCUAGAUUGCUUAUUGCUCAGGAGAAAUCACCACUUUUUAAAAAGAUAUGCUGAGAUAGGGUUUAGUUGGGAUAGAAAAGGUUAUUAAACUACGGGACACCCUUCCUUUACAGAGUGUAAGCACUACUACCCCUUUUGUUUGUCUGUUUUUCUUAUUUUUCUCACAGAUGCAGUUCCUGCAUUAGUAUUGAUAAAUGUGUGGCUGCUCCACUUGGAGUGUUUUCAAAGCAUAAAUCACAGCAUUGAUGGUGCUGUGGUUUGGCUCUUCCAGCCCUCUUAACAACGGUCUGAUGGACUUGGCGAGAGUCUAGCCACGUGUUCUGGCCUCUGUCACUCUCAUGGCUGAAACGCAUGCACACCCACAGAUGGGGGCCCCGUGGUAGAGAUGUGCCUCUACUUGUCAAAUAGACUGACUCCAAAUUCGGAAAUAUGCCUCAGGAAUCUAGAAAGAUAGAAAAGGAGUCUUCGUCACUGUAGGGUCUCAUUCACAAUAUGGAGGAGAGAUGGAGGGGAGUUUUUGGUAUAAAUUUUGCCUCAUAAAAAUUCUCCACGUUGUUUUGUACUGUAUGAGGGUAGCGAGAAAUUAGUUGAUGGUUAACAAUCAAGCUGGAGAAGAAUAUCCUCAAUUUUUCACAUGGAAAAUGAAAAACUACAACUCCUUCCAAAUAUAUGUAUGUUUCUUUUCUGAAGAUAGACGUGUGUGUGUUUGUGUGUAUCAUAUAACAUUUAUUUUUUGAUUUCUUUGUUAUCAACAGUAAAAAUACAGAAAAUGAUGCCAAAGAGA